rnacentral:rRNA from 1 species
GGUUAAGUGAAUAAGGGCGCACGGUGGAUGCCUUGGCACUAGGAGCCGAUGAAGGACGGGACUAACACCGAUAUGCUUUGGGGAGCUGUAAGUAAGCUAUGAUCCAGAGAUUUCCGAAUGGGGGAACCCAAUAUCUUUUAUAGGAUAUUACUUUUCAGUGAAUACAUAGCUGAUUAGAGGUAGACGCAGAGAACUGAAACAUCUUAGUACCUGCAGGAAGAGAAAGAAAAUUCGAUUCCCUGAGUAGCGGCGAGCGAAACGGGAAGAGCCCAAACCAACAAGCUUGCUUGUUGGGGUUGUAGGACUCCAAUAUGGUAGUCUGUUAGUAUAGUUGAAGGAUUUGGAAAAUUCCGCUAAAGAGGGUGAAAGCCCCGUAGACGAAAUGCUGACAACACCUAGGAGGAUCCUGAGUACGGCGGAACACGAGAAAUUCCGUCGGAAUCCGCGGGGACCAUCCCGCAAGGCUAAAUACUC